rnacentral:rRNA from 1 species
AUUGAACGCUGGCGGCAUGCCUUACACAUGCAAGUCGAACGGUAACGCGGGGCAACCUGGCGACGAGUGGCGAACGGGUGAGUAAUGCAUCGGAACGUGCCCAGUAGUGGGGGAUAGCCCGGCGAAAGCCGGAUUAAUACCGCACACGACCUACGGGUGAAAGCGGGGGACCGUAAGGCCUCGCGUCAUUGGAGCGGCCGAGGUUAGAUUAGGUUGUUGGUGGGGUAAAAGCCUACCAAGCCGACGAUCUGUAGCUGGUCUGAGAGGACGACCAGCCACACGGGGACUGAGACACGGCCCAGACUCCUACGGGAGGCAGCAGUGGGGAAUUUUGGACAAUGGGGGCAACCCUGAUCCAGCCAUGCCGCGUGCGGGAAGAAGGCCUUCGGGUUGUAAACCGCUUUUGUCAGGGAAGAAACGCUCUGGGCUAAUACCCCGGGGUAAUGACGGUACCUGAAGAAUAAGCACCGGCUAACUACGUGCCAGCAGCCGCCGUAAAAC